CAAAUUAUAAUCACAUUAACCACAAUUCAAAAGUAAGAAAAGAUAUACAUAUGCCGUGACAAUGCUUUCAUACUCAAUUAUUCAUUUGGCAUGGUAGUGCCAACUUGAGCAAAAAAGAAUCCCGCCCAUUGGUUUUUUUUUCAUUUCCUCGCUCCAUCCCGCAGAGAACUAUCCGUCAUUUGCUAUUGUUGUAAUGCCCUCACAAUAUGAUGUUGGAUGACCGGCUGCUGUUUAGUUAGUUAUCUCUUUGAAAAUGACAUUAGUUACGCAUGUACAUCAGUGUUGCCAUAAUGAAAUAUUUUUCCAAGCACAAAACUGGACUCAAUCUUUCUGUGAAGACCAAAUACCAUUGAGUUCGGCGAAUCUUGUAUUGACGCUGAAUCGUGGAUUUAUCAAAAUAUGCACCAAUGUCUAUAUUUUUAUAGAAAUUAUCUUAUAA
rnacentral:sRNA from 1 species